rnacentral:rRNA from 1 species
UUACGGGAGGCAGCAGUGGGGAAUUUUGGACAAUGGGCGCAAGCCUGAUCCAGCCAUGCCGCGUGCGGGAAGAAGGCCUUCGGGUUGUAAACCGCUUUUGUCAGGGAAGAAACGGUCUGGGUUAAUACCUCGGGCUAAUGACGGUACCUGAAGAAUAAGCACCGGCUAACUACGUGCCAGCAGCCGCGGUAAUACGUAGGGUGCAAGCGUUAAUCGGAAUUACUGGGCGUAAAGCGUGCGCAGGCGGCUUUGCAAGACAGAUGUGAAAUCCCCGGGCUCAACCUGGGAACUGCAUUUGUGACUGCAUCGCUGGAGUGCGGCAGAGGGGGAUGGAAUUCCGCGUGUAGCAGUGAAAUGCGUAGAUAUGCGGAGGAACACCGAUGGCGAAGGCAAUCCCCUGGGCCUGCACUGACGCUCAUGCACGAAAGCGUGGGGAGCAAACAGGAUUAGAUACCCGGGUAC